GAUGAACGCUGGCGGCGUGCCUAAUACAUGCAAGUCGAGCGAACAGACGAGGAGCUUGCUCCUUUGACGUUAGCGGCGGACGGGUGAGUAACACGUGGGUAACCUACCUAUAAGACUGGGAUAACUUCGGGAAACCGGAGCUAAUUCCGGAUAAUAUUUCGAAUCGUAUGGUUCGAUAGUGAAAGAUGGCUUUUCUAUCACUUAUAGAUGGUCCUGCGCCGUAUUAGCUAGUGGGUAAGGUAACGGAUUACCAAGUCAACGAUACGUAGCCGACCUGAGAGGGUGGUCGCCCACACUGGAACUGAGAAGCGGUCCAGACUCCUACGGGAGGCAGCAGUAGGGAAUCUUCCGCAAUGGGCGAAAGCCUGACGGAGCAACGCCGCGUGAGUGAUGAAGUUCUUCGGAUCAUAAAACUCUGUUAUUAGGGAAGAACAAACGUGUAAGUAACUGUGCACGUCUUGACGGUACCUAAUCAGAAAGCCACGGCUAACUACGUG
rnacentral:rRNA from 1 species